rnacentral:rRNA from 1 species
UACGUAGGGUGCGAGCGUUGUCCGGAAUCAUUGGGCGUAAAGGGCGCGUAGGUGGCCCGGUCAGUCAGUGGUGAAAGCGCGGGGCUCAACUCCGCGUCGGCCAUUGAUACUGCUGGGCUGGAGCACUGUAGAGGCAGGCGGAAUCCGGGUGUAGCGGUGGAAUGCGUAGAGAUCCGGAAGAACACCGGUGGCGAAGGCGGCCUGCUGGGCAGUUGCUGACACUGAGGCGCGACAGCGUGGGAGCAAACACGGAUGAGAUACCCGUGUAGUCACACCCAAGUCCUAGUGCAUACCGUACUCACCGUAACCCCUGGUCCA